rnacentral:rRNA from 1 species
GGAAAAGAAACUAACAAGGAUUCCCCUAGUAACGGCGAGUGAAGCGGGAAGAGCUCAAAUUUGUAAUCUGGCACCUUCGGUGUCCGAGUUGUAAUCUCGAGAAGUGUUUUCCGCGCCGGACCGCAUACAAGUCUGUUGGAAUACAGCGUCAUAGUGGUGAGAACCCCGUAACUGAUGCGGAUGCCCGGUGCUUUGUGAUACACUUUCGAAGAGUCGAGUUGUUUGGGAAUGCAGCUCAAAUUGGGUGGUAAAUUCCAUCUAAAGCUAAAUAUUGGCGAGAGACCGAUAGCGAACAAGUACCGUGAGGGAAAGAUGAAAAGCACUUUGGAAAGAGAGUUAACAGUACGUGAAAUUGUUGGAAGGGAAACGCUUGAAGUCAGACUUGCUAUUUGGAAUUCAGCCGCAAGGUGUACUUUUCAAUUCGCAGGCCAGCAUCAGUUUUCGGGGGUGGAAAAGGGUAGAGAGAAGGUAGCAAUUUCGGUUGUGUUAUAGCUCUUUGCUGGAUUCAUCCUUGGGGACUGAGGAACGCAGCACGCUUUUUGCAAGGCUUUCGAGCUUUUCGUGC